GGAGUUUGGGCCGUGUCUCAGUCCCAAUGUGGCCGGUCACCCUCUCAGGUCGGCUACUGAUCGUCGCCUUGGUGAGCCGUUACCUCACCAACUAGCUAAUCAGACGCGGGUCCAUCUUGUACCGAAAAACUUUUCACACUAUAUCAUGCGAUAUCGUGCGCUUAUGCGGUAUUAGCAGUCGUUUCUAACUGUUAUCCCCCUGUACAAGGCAGGUUACCCACGCGUUACUCACCCGUCCGCCACUCAGUCAAUCAAAUCUUCCUCCCGAAGGAUUCUGUCUUGAUUGCUUCGUUCAACUUGCAUGUGUUAGGCACGCCGCCAGCGUUCAUC
rnacentral:rRNA from 1 species